rnacentral:rRNA from 1 species
AACGGCCGUACCAUGCUGAAUAUACCGGUUCUCGUUAGAUCACCGAAGUCAAGCAUCAUUGGGCGCGGUCAGUACUUGGGUGGGUGACCACCUGGGAAUACUGCGUGCCGUU